rnacentral:rRNA from 1 species
AGCUACACCCGAUCCCAUCCCGAACUCGGCCGUGAAAGCCCCCAGCGCCAAUGGUACUGUGUCUUAAGGCACGGGAGAGUAGGUCGCUGCCAGGU